rnacentral:rRNA from 1 species
UACGUAGGGGGCGAGCGUUGUCCGGAAUCAUUGGGCGUAAAGAGCGUGUAGGUGGACUGGAAGGUCUGGUGUGAAAGCCCGGGGGCUCAACCCCGGAGGGUCACUGGAAACCAACAGUCUUGAGUCCGGAAGAGGAGAGUGGAAUUCCGUGGUGUAGGCGGUGGAAUGCGCAGAUAUCAGGAGGAACACCAAUGGCGGAAGGCAGCUCCUCUGGUACGUGACUGACACUGAGA